AUGUAUCCUAAAGGUUGUAAUGUGUACUUUUAUGGUACUAUAAUGAACCCGUAAAGAAGGUACAAAGGUGUCCCUUUGAGGGUACUGCCCCAGUGACGAGCUGUUGUUCCCCCCAAAGGUACAGUUUGGUACUAUAAUUAACCCUUUAGGAGUAAAUAAGGUACAUAUUUUUGUAGGCAGUAUACAGUGUAUAGUGUGCAUUAUUCAGAUUGUAGUAAACUGCAAUCUGUAGUGCCAUCUAGUGGCUGUUCACAAAAUAAUAAUUUUCUACUAAACGUUUGAAAACAAAAUGUGUUUGUCAGUUAAGAGGAAAGGCGGCCAUGUGUUCAAGAGAGCACAUGUGGGUUAGUGAGUGAGUGUGCGUGUGUGAGAGCUGGCUUUGAUAUCAACAGAGAUCACAAACCUGCACACACUGACCCCAAUCCUCAUAAGGAUCUUGCUGUCAAUCUCUGAGACAGCUGUCAGUCUAAUGCAAUCUCUCUCUCUCUCUCUCUCUCUCUCUCUCUCUCUCUAUGCAGAGUCAUGGUCUCAUGCAGGACAGAGGAAAAAGUAAACACGCUGCCUAAUGAUUCGACAAAAACACACUUAGGAAAUGAUGGCAUCAGUUAUGCAGGAGAGUUUGACCUGCCAGGGGAAAAAUGCAAUGAUCCAUGUAAGUGGCUGUGACAUUCAGCUGGUGUCUAAAAAGGGCCGUCUCUCACGCACACCUGCCCUCCAUCUGUUAUCAACACAUGCUGAGGAUUCUGUUUGCUUGACACUCUCAUCUUCCUCGCUCUCCGCUUCCUCCACCAUACAGGAUCAGGGUCGAUCUCCUGCUCAGCCCUCUGAGCAAGAAUCUGAGAAUCUCCCCCCGAGACGCCCUCUGAAACUCACUCCGCUAGAGCUCCCGCUAGAGGUGCAGCGGCAGAAGCUCAAAAGUGCUCAGGAGGCAAAAGUGGCAAUCUGUAAGUCAGACAGGACAUAUCCCAGAAAAGCAAAAGUUUGUUGGCAGGACGGCCCAGACAAAUCGCCAGGACGCUACCCGCUGAGUACCAUCACAGAGCCACACAAACCACAGCUACCUGUAAAUCAAUUCAAGCUUGCUUCUGAUAGGCUAGCGGGAAAGAAGGCGGAGCAAAUGGAAGGUAAUCCGACAGUCCACUUAACAUGUGCUCACGAAAAUGUCUGCCAAUCAAAGCAUGGCAACAGCCAAUCAGCAGCUCCCGCUAAGAACCAGGAUGCAGUCAAGAGGCGCCUAAGACUGCGAAGAACCCAGCGGCUAGAGGAGGAUCAAAGCAAAUCCAGCUCAUCAGCAGGUGGAUUAUCUGUUGAUGAGAGCAAACUGGCAUCAGCUGGGCCUGGCAAGGGUCAGCGUGCUGCUGAGAAGGCCCUUCAAGACGCCGGCCAUGUGCUGGAAAAGGCAUCGUAGAGGAACCCAGGAGAACCCGGGACAGUGGUUAAAGUGGGGAUAAGGAUGGCUGUUAAUGACAUUCCAGAAGCCGUACUCUGACUCUUUGACACAAAGAGGAAGUGCAGCACAUGGUGUUGGGGUUAGAGACUUGAACAUGGCAACAGAGUCAUUUUUCCGGAGGAUUUUCCCUCUUGGGUUUAGAUGGGAAAACAGCUGAGAUGAAGCCUCCAGUAAUGUAGAAAAUGGCACAACAUUACUGAUCUAAAUAUGGGUAUAUAAGUGAUUAUAUUUUGAUUAUCUCAAAAUAAAUUCAGAUCAGGAUCUUUACA
ensembl:lncRNA